rnacentral:rRNA from 1 species
GUCGAACGGUGAAGCCAAGCUUGCUUGGUGGAUCAGUGGCGAACGGGUGAGUAACACGUGAGCAACCUGCCCUGAACUCUGGGAUAAGCGCUGGAAACGGCGUCUAAUACUGGAUAUGAGCUGCGGAGGCAUCUUCGUGGUUGGAAAGAUUUUUCGGUUUGGGAUGGGCUCGCGGCCUAUCAGCUUGUUGGUGAGGUAAUGGCUCACCAAGGCGUCGACGGGUAGCCGGCCUGAGAGGGUGACCGGCCACACUGGGACUGAGACACGGCCCAGACUCCUACGGGAGGCAGCAGUGGGGAAUAUUGCACAAUGGGCGGAAGCCUGAUGCAGCAACGCCGCGUGAGGGAUGACGGCCUUCGGGUUGUAAACCUCUUUUAGCAGGGAAGAAGCGAAAGUGACGGUACCUGCAGAAAAAGCGCCGGCUAACUACGUGCCAGCAGCCGCGGUAAUACGUAGGGCGCAAGCGUUAUCCGGAAUUAUUGGGCGUAAAGAGCUCGUAGGCGGUUUGUCGCGUCUGCUGUGAAAUCUGGGGGCUCAACCCCCAGCCUGCAGUGGGUACGGGCAGACUAGAGUGCGGUAGGGGAGAUUGGAAUUCCUGGUGUAGCGGUGGAAUGCGCAGAUAUCAGGAGGAACACCGAUGGCGAAGGCAGAUCUCUGGGCCGUAACUGACGCUGAGGAGCGAAAGGGUGGGGAGCAAACAGGCUUAGAUACCCUGGUAGUCCACCCCGUAAACGUUGGGAACUAGUUGUGGGGGUCCAUUCCACGGAUUCCGUGACGCAGCUAACGCAUUAAGUUCCCCCGCCUGGGGGAGUACGGCCGCAAGGCUAAAACUCAAAAGGAAUUGACGGGGACCCGCACAAGCGGCGGAGCAUGCGGAUUAAUUCGAUUGCAACCG